CUGCCGGAAGGUCGAAGCCGGGGAAAUGACGUUUCCCGAGCUCAAGCUCUAUAGAAACAGAAUCAGCAAUUUCCUGACUCCUCCCAACUGCACCGUUUACCCACUGCCUGUCAUGGU
rnacentral:rRNA from 1 species